rnacentral:rRNA from 1 species
UACGUAGGCAGCAAGCGUUGUUCGGAAUUACUGGGCUUAAAGCGCACGUAGGCGGCGCCGCAAGUGUGGGGUGAAAGCCCACGGCUUACCCGUGGAAUUGCCUGGCAGACUGCGGUGCUAGAGGAUGGUAGGGGAGAGCGGAACUCCUGGUGGAGCGGUGAAAUGCGUAGAUAUCAGGAGGAACACCGGUGGCGAAGGCGGCUCUCUGGUCCAUUUCUGACGCUGAGGUGCGAAAGCUAGGGGAGCAAACGGG